rnacentral:rRNA from 1 species
GUCCGCACCGUAAACGAUGGAUACUAGGUGUCCGGCCUUUCGGGGCUGGGUGCCCAAGGGAAACCGAUAAGUAUCCCACCUGGGGAGUACGUCCGCAAGGAUGAAACUCAAAGGAAUUGACGGGGGCCCGCACAAGCGGUGGAGCAUGUGGUUUAAUUCGAUGAUACGCGAGGAACCUUACCUGGGCUAGAAUGCCCCCUGACCGGCCUGGAAACAGGACUUUCCUUCGGGACAGGGAGCAAGGUGCUGCAUGGCUGUCGU